rnacentral:rRNA from 1 species
AGAGUUUGAUCCUGGCUCAGGACGAACGCUGGCGGCGCGCCUAACACAUGCAAGUCGAACGAGAGAGAGGAAGCUUGCUUCCUCAAUCGAGUGGCGAACGGGUGAGUAACGCGUGAGGAACCUGCCUCAAAGAGGGGGACAACAGUUGGAAACGACUGCUAAUACCGCAUAAGCCCACAGGUCGGCAUCGACCAGAGGGAAAAGGAGCAAUCCGCUUUGAGAUGGCCUCGCGUCCGAUUAGCUAGUUGGUGAGGUAAUGGCCCACCAAGGCAACGAUCGGUAGCCGGACUGAGAGGUUGAACGGCCACAUUGGGACUGAGACACGGCCCAGACUCCUACGGGAGGCAGCAGUGGGGAAUAUUGCACAAUGGGGGAAACCCUGAUGCAGCGACGCCGCGUGGAGGAAGAAGGUCUUCGGAUUGUAAACUCCUGUUGUUGAGGAAGAUAAUGACGGUACUCAACAAGGAAGUGACGGCUAACUACGUGCCAGCAGCCGCGGU